UUAUUAGAUUAUAAUAAGACUACUUUUGUUACUACAGAUGUUUAUAAAAAGGGGCAGAUGGGCAACGAAUCGCCACAUCUUACAGUUCACAGGUGUUAUGGAUGUGAGGGUGUGAAGGCCUUGCCAAAGCGAAGACCGACACGUUAUUCACUAAUGAUCCUUCCGCAGGUUCACCUACGGAAA
rnacentral:misc_RNA from 1 species